rnacentral:tRNA from 1 species
CGCCCCUUAGCUCAGCUGGAUAGAGCACCUGCCUUCUAAGCAGGUUGUCGCAGGUUCGAGUCCUGCAGGGGUCGCCA